rnacentral:rRNA from 1 species
UAGGGAAUCUUCCGCAAUGGGCGAAAGCUUGACGGAGCAACGCCGCGUGAGUGAUGAAGGUCUUCGGAUCGUAAAACUCUGUUAUUAGGGGAGAACAAAUGUGUAAGUAACUAUGCACGUCUUGACGGUACCUAAUCAGAAAGCCACGGCUAACUACGUGCCAGCAGCUGCGGUAAUACGUAGGUGGCAAGCGUUAUCCGGAAUUAUUGGGCGUAAAGCGCGCGUAGGCGGUUUUAUAAGUCUGGUGUGAAAGCCCACGGCUCAAACGGGGAGGGUCAGUGGAAACUGGAAAACUUGAGUGCAGAAGAGGAAAGUGGAAUUCCAUGUGUAGCGGUGAAAUGCGCAGAGAUAUGGAGGAAAACCAGUGGCGAAGGCGACUUUCUGGUCUGUAACUGACGCUGAUGUGCGAAAGCGUGGGGAUCAAACAGG